UGUGAUCCUGUGGAUGGAUUCUGUUCACAGGGAUGUACCAAGGGUUAUCAGGGACCUCUCUGCAAUGAAGUAUGUAAUGCAGGAUUUUAUGGCAAUAACUGUAAAAGAGAGUGCAGCCUCUUCUGCAAGACAUCACGUGACUGCCAUCACGUGACCGGAUAUUGUAAAGACGGUUGUAUAGGAGGGUGGCGGGGUGCACAGUGCUUACAAAUUGAAGAAACAGGAAAAUGGCAUUCAAGAUUUAAUGGUGUUCUCGCAGCCCUGUGUAUAAGCAUAGGAACGAUCUUGGGAUUAAUAUUCUACAUAUAUAUAAUUAAAAAAAGGUACCGUAAAAGAAUAAGAGAGCAAAAUACUUCAUCUAAUGCGGGACCUGUCAACAUUAUUUCUGGUGAAUCUGGCGAAGUUGGGGAAGAUACAAGAAAAAACUACUUGUAUCAUAAGCUUGCCCAGUCGCCCUUUUUAUCAGAUUUAUAAAUGCUGCCAUUCUUCUCAAUCAAAUGUGUCCCA